ACAACCAAGAACCAGGGAGGGAAAUGAAGGCAGGAAUUUCACAGCUGCUUUUACCAUAAUCCUGAUGGAAAACCACAGCCUCACAUUGGUGACUGAAUUCAUCCUGAUGGGUAUAACUGAACGCCCUGAACUGCAGGCCCCAUUGUUUGGACUGUUCCUCAUCAUCUAUAUUUUCUCACUGGUGGGCAACUUGGGCAUGAUCAUCCUUACCAUGGUGGAAUCAAGGCUACAAACACCUAUGUACUUUUUUCUCAGACACCUUGCUACUACUGACCUUGGUUAUUCAACAGCUGUGGGACCAAAAAUGUUAAGAAGUUUUCUUGUAGACCAAAAUAGAAUAUCAUUUCAUUUCUGUGCUGUCCAGUUUGCUUUCUUUAGCAUGUUCAUUAUUAGUGAAUUUUUUAUUCUGUCUGCAAUGUCUUAUGACCGUUAUGUCGCCAUCUGUAAACCACUCCUCUAUAAUGUCAUUAUGUCACAAAGAGUGUGUUGGGUCCUAGUGACAAUCCCAUACCUUUAGAGUAUAUUUGUCGCUCUCAUAGCCACCAUAAAUAUUUUUUCUUCUUCCUUCUGUGGCCAAAA